rfam:Streptococcus parauberis NCFD 2020 Noncontiguous_Finished_Chromosome chromosome, whole genome shotgun sequence.
UAACUUACGAAUAAAUAAAUGUAGGAAAGUAUCGAAGGCGGGACGGAAAUCUAUUUUAGGAGGUGAUGCCUAUGCAUUUACUGUCCAUAGAAAGGUUUCGUCAUGUCAGUUUUUCAAGCAUUAAUGCUUAUGAUUAACUUUGGCAUUCUUUUAUUGACCAUAGUUUCAAAAAGAAAA